CGGCGGACGGGUGAGUAAUGUCUGGGAAACUGCCCGAUGGAGGGGGAUAACUACUGGAAACGGUAGCUAAUACCGCAUAACGUCGCAAGACCAAAGAGGGGACCUUCGGGCCUCUUGCCAUCGGAUGUGCCCAGAUGGGAUUAGCUAGUAGGUGGGGUAACGGCUCACCUAGGCGACGAUCCCUAGCUGGUCUGAGAGGAUGAUCAGCCACACUGGGACUGAGACACGGCCCAG
rnacentral:rRNA from 1 species